rnacentral:rRNA from 1 species
GCUGGCGGCGUGCCUAACACAUGCAAGUCGAACGAAGCAGCAAUGCUUAGUGGCAGACGGGUGAGUAACGCGUAGAUAAUGUGCCCUCUUGCGGGGGAUACCGUUUCGAAAGGAACGUUAAUACCGCAUAAAGUCCUUAGGAGGCAUCUCCCUAGGACCAAACUUCCGGGGCGGGAGGAGCAAUCUGCGUACUAUCAGCUAGUUGGUGAGGUAAUGGCUCACCAAGGCUACGACGGUUUAACUGGUCUGAGAGGAUGAUCAGUCACACUGGAACUGAGACACGGUCCAGACUCCUACGGGAGGCAGCAGUGAGGAAUAUUGCGCAAUGGGCGAAAGCCUGACGCAGCGACGCCGCGUGGAGGAUGACGGAUUUCGGUCUGUAAACUCCUGUCAGUAGGGAAGAGAAUGGACGGUACCUACUGAGGAAGCUUCGGCUAACUACGUGCCAGCAGCCGCGGUAAGACGUAGGAA